ensembl:lncRNA
CUCCAGAGAGCCUAACUCACCCCUACAAGUGACCCUGACUCAUGCCUGCCUGGCACACCAGAGGCAUUUGUGGUUCAGAAUACCUCUUCGUGCCUGUCCCCAGGCGGGACGCCCGCGUCCACACCCCUGCGCGCCGCGCCCCCCCCCCAACCCUGGCAGGCAGACGAAGGCCGGGACUCAGGGGCGCGGGCGCGGAGGGUUUAGCCGUGUUUUCACUAUAACCUGACUCCAUCACGAACGGUUCGGACUCGUCAGAACUGAAGGGCACCUGUAUUUCAAGACGGAGAAGCAGUAGGCCGGGGGCGUAAGGACUCGUGCCCACGGCUGAGUCGGAGCGCAGGGGCCAGUCACCCCGAAAAGAUCCACUCCCGAGUCCCCGGCCUUUCCACCCGCUGGGUUUGAACCCGCGGCGCGCGUGGACCUUGCGGUCCUGGACCCACGCCGGCGGCUCCGUGCAGGCGCGCCUCCCCAGUCGGCUCUGCGGGACCGAAGCGCGGGGAGUCUCCGUUCCCCCUCCGGGGGGUUAUAGCGAACCCGGGAGCACUGGGGGGAAAUUGUCUUUCGCUUCCCCGCCCGCCUGCUCGGAUGGGCGCCCCAGGAACCCGCUCCGGGCCGGCAUCCCUCCACUGUUCGCUGGUCGGCUCUCCCUCUGGGACCGCGCAGGGUGGAGGCGGCCCGGGGAGGACCGCCCGAGGGCGCGCAGGGGCGGGGUGCCUGGGGCGGGGUG